UUACCGAGUUUACAACUCCCAAACCCCUGUGAACAUACCACUUGUUGCCUCGGCGGAUCAGCCCGCUCCCGGUAAAACGGGACGGCCCGCCAGAGGACCCCUAAACUCUGUUUCUAUAUGUAACUUCUGAGUAAAACCAUAAAUAAAUCAAAACUUUCAACAACGGAUCUCUUGGUUCUGGCAUCGAUGAAGAACGCAGCAAAAUGCGAUAAGUAAUGUGAAUUGCAGAAUUCAGUGAAUCAUCGAAUCUUUGAACGCACAUUGCGCCCGCCAGUAUUCUGGCGGGCAUGCCUGUUCGAGCGUCAUUUCAACCCUCAAGCCCUCGGGUUUGGUGUUGGGGAUCGGCGAGCCCUUGCGGCAAGCCGGCCCCGAAAUCUAGUGGCGGUCUCGCUGCAGCCUCCAUUGCGUAGUAGUAAAACCCUCGCAACUGGAACGCGGCGCGGCCAAGCCGUUAAACCCCCAACUUCUGAAUGUUGACCUCGGAUCAGGUAGGAAUACCCGCUGAACUUAAGCAUAUCAAUAAGCGGAGGAAAAGAAACCAACAGGGAUUGCCCUAGUAACGGCGAGUGAAGCGGCAACAGCUCAAAUUUGAAAUCUGGCUCUCGGGCCCGAGUUGUAAUUUGUAGAGGAUGCUUUUGAUGCGGUGCCUUCCGAGUUCCCUGGAACGGGACGCCAUAGAGGGUGAGAGCCCCGUCUGGUUGGAUGCCAAAUCUCUGUAAAGCUCCUUCAACGAGUCGAGUAGUUUGGGAAUGCUGCUCUAAAUGGGAGGUAUAUGUCUUCUAAAGCUAAAUACCGGCCAGAGACCGAUAGCGCACAAGUAGAGUGAUCGAAAGAUGAAAAGCACUUUGAAAAGAGAGUUAAAAAGUACGUGAAAUUGUUGAAAGGGAAGCGUUUAUGACCAGACUUGGGCUUGGUUAAUCAUCUGGGGUUCUCCCCAGUGCACUUUUCCAGUCCAGGCCAGCAUCAGUUUUCCCCGGGGGAUAAAGGCGGCGGGAAUGUGGCUCUCUU
rnacentral:rRNA from 1 species